rnacentral:rRNA from 1 species
CGAAAGCCUGACGGAGCAAUACCGCGUGAGGGAGGAAGGCUCUUGGGUUGUAAACCUCAAAACUUAGGGAAGAAGAAAGUGACGGUACCUAAUAUAAGCAUCGGCUAACUCCGUGCCAGCAGCCGCGGUAAUACGGAGGAUGCAAGCGUUAUCCGGAAUCAUUGGGCGUAAAGCGUCCGUAGGUGGCAUUUAAAGUCUGCUGUCAAAGACCGAAGCUCAACUUCGGGUAGGCGGUGGAAACUAAAAAGCUAGAGUAUAGUAGGGGUAGAGGGAAUUCCUAGUGUAGCGGUGAAAUGCGUAGAGAUUAGGAAGAACACCAGUGGCGAAGGCGCUCUACUGGGCAUAUACUGACACUGAGGGACGAAAGCUA